AGAGUUUGAUCCUGGCUCAGAACGAAUUUUGGCGGCGUGCUUAACAUUNNUUUNUNGAACGAGAAAGUUCCUUCGGGAAUGAGUAAAGUGGCGCACGGGUGAGUAACGCGUAAGUAAUCUACCCUUGGAUCUGGAAUAACUACGGGAAGCUGUAGNNNAAUACCAGAUACGUUCUCUAUUUUGCGAAAUAGAGAAGAAAGAUGACCUCUUCUUGAAAGUUAUCGUGCAGGGAGGAGCUUGCGUACCAUUAGCUAGUUGGUAGGGUAAUGGNCUACCAAGGNAACGAUGGUUAGCGGGUCUGAGAGGAUGAUCCGCCACACUGGAACUGGAACACGGACCAGACUCCUACGGGAGGNAGCAGUGAGGAAUAUUGCGCAAUGGGGGAAANCCUGACGCAGCGACGCCGCGUGGAUGAUGAAGGNCUUANGGNCGUAAAAUCCUGUCAGAUGGGAAGAAAUGUAUGAGGGAAUAAUACCCCUUGUAUUUGACGGGANCAUCAAAGGAAGCACCGGGUAANUCCGNGGNANCAGNCGNGGNAAUAAAAAGGGNG
rnacentral:rRNA from 1 species